UCUGGGUCUGAAAAAAAAAAUGGAGGAAGAGGCUGUUUUCGUGCAUUUCUAAAGGAAGCACAGAGGAACGAGGCACUUUUUGCCGGUUUUCAAAUUCAACCGAAAGAUGCCUGUUUCAUGAGAUUGUGGUGCAGGUCACAAAAUGCUAACUCGGGAGAUCACAGACGACGGUUGGCUGACUUUCCCACCCGCAGACCGAGGGUCCCACCCCGCGCGUGGCCCUCUGGCAUCCCGCCGUUCUAUGAAACAGGUCGAGGUCUUUUCUUCUGACUUUGCGCCUGGGAAAACUCGUGUACCAGAAGGUUUAGUUGCUUUUCCAGAAUGUGUCAAUAGGGAGAGCAGUUGGGGCCUGGAACUGGCUAGACCCUGGCUAAGUGGACCUUGGGGUCUCUACCACUCGCAUCUUUGAGGAGAAG